rnacentral:rRNA from 1 species
CGGGGUGAGUAACGUGUGGGCAACCUGCCUUAUACUGGGGAAUAAUCACUGGAAACGGUGACUAAUACCGCAUAAUGUCUUUUCACGGCAUCGUGGAAAGAAGAAAGGAGCAAUCCGGUAAAAGAUGGGCCCGCAUCUGAUUAGCUAGUUGGUGAGAUAACAGCCCACCAAGGCGACGAUCAGUAGCCGACCUGAGAGGGUGAUCGGCCACAUUGGGACUGAGACACGGCCCAA